GACGAACGCUGGCGGCGUGCUUAACACAUGCAAGUCGAACGGUAAGGCCCUUCGGGGUACACGAGUGGCGAACGGGUGAGUAACACGUGGGUGAUCUGCCCUGCACUUCGGGAUAAGCCUGGGAAACUGGGUCUGAUACCGGAUAGGACCCUGGGAUGCAUGUCCUGGGGUGGAAAGCUUUUGCGGUGUGGGAUGGGCCCGCGGCCUAUCAGCUUGUUGGUGGGGUGAUGGCCUACCAAGGCGACGACGGGUAGCCGGCCUGAGAGGGUGACCGGCCACACAGGGACUGAGAUACGGCCCAGACUCCUACGGGAGGCAGCAGUGGGGAAUAUUGCACAAUGGGCGCAAGCCUGAUGCAGCGACGCCGCGUGAGGGAUGACGGCCUUCGGGUUGUAAACCUCUUUCAGCACCGACGAAGCGCAAGUGACGGUAGGUGCAGAAGAAGGACCGGCCAACUACGUGCCAGCCGCCGCUGUAA
rnacentral:rRNA from 1 species